CAAACGACUCUCGGCAACGGAUAUCUCGGCUCUCGCAUCGAUGAAGAACGUAGCGAAAUGCGAAACUUGGUGUGAAUUGCAGAAUCCCGUGAACCAUCGAGUCUUUGAACGCAAGUUGCGCCCGAAGCCAUUAGGCCGAGGGCACGCCUGCCUGGGCGUCAC
rnacentral:rRNA from 1 species